rnacentral:rRNA from 1 species
GAUGAACGCUGGCGGCGUGCCUAAUACAUGCAAGUCGAGCGAACGGACGAGAAGCUUGCUUCUCUGCUGUUAGCGGCGGACGGGUGAGUAACACGUGGAUAACCUACCUAUAAGACUGGGAUAACUUCGGGAAACCGGAGCUAAUACCGGAUAAUAUUUUGAACCGCAUGGUUCAAAAGUGAAAGACGGUCUUGCUGUCACUUAUAGAUGGAUCCGCGCUGCAUUAGCUAGUUGGUAAGGUAACGGCUUACCAAGGCAACGAUGCAUAGCCGACCUGAGAGGGUGAUCGGCCACACUGGAACUGGGACACGGUCCAGACUCCUACGGGAGGCAGCAGUAGGGAAUCUUCGGCAAUGGGCGAAAGCCUGACGGAGCAACGCCGCGUGAGUGAUGAAGGUCUUCGGAUCGUAAAACUCUGUUAUUAGGGAAGAACAUAUGUGUAAGUAACUGUGCACGUCUUGACGGUACCUAAUCAGAAAGCCACGGCUAACUACGUG